rnacentral:lncRNA from 1 species
GCCAAAGAUAUUUCAUGGGAGACUUGAAAUAUUUCUGUUUGGCAAUAAAAAUCUUACCUAGUCUUCUCAACUCAGAUUAAUCUGAUCCUGUUCUUUGUAACUUGUGUUUAUCUUUGCAGCCACCGAGUCUACCGGACCUAUCACUACCUACAUCUUUUUUCUGCCUUUGAACAAUGUACCCACAAUGACAGUGAAAAAUUGAGCAAUCCUGAACCCAGGGUUGGGAGGGUUGUUUCUCAAGCUGUGAAAUAUAUCCUUGGUUGGCGUCAAGAGAACCACCUUCACCAAUUAGUCCAAUGA